UUCUAGGCCUCUCCUCUCUCUCCUCUUAUUCAGUACCUUGAGAGCAAUGGCAGUCUCACGCUCCGCAGCUUCGGUUGUACCAUUGUUGGUCGUGGUGGCCAUGGUCUUCUCGCUAGUCGGAGCCUCGUUCGCCGCCGAGGCUCCUGCACCGGCUCCCGCUUCUUCCGCCGUGUCAGUUUCGCCGUCAUUGGUGGCCGGAUUCGCCGUUGCCUUCGCUUCUUUCAUCUUCGGAUCUGGAUUCAGAGUUUGAAGUAGUACAGUUAUUUAUAUUAUUUGCAGGAGAUAUUUGAUUUUGGGGAGGUUUUGUACAUGUGUUUAUUACUACUUAGCUAUGAUGUUAGUGUAGUAACCGCUGCUGCAGUUUGUUUUUCCUUUUUCAUUUUUUUUUUAUUAUUUUGUGAGUUUCUCGAGGGGUUUGUUUCUAGCAUGUUAUUGCAGAGUUGCAGUUUAUUUUAAAUUUCUCUUCACUAAUAUUUCGUUAAAAUAUCUUUUAUUGAUUUACAAUCUUAAUUGUCUCAUUGCACCGUUAUUAUUUUUUAAUUUUGUGGGGUAAUUAAAAACACGGGGAAAAAAUCCCUAUUAUUCUACAAUUUUUUUUGUUUUUACCCUUGGUAACUAAUGAAUACUAGUACUAUUAGACAAUUUUAUGUGUACCAAUAAUUACAAGUAGGCCUAAAAACAAUAGCAGACAGGAGUGAAGCAUUAUGUGACUUAAUUGAGUCUAGCAUUUAGUUGAAACUCGAGUCUAACAACACACAGAUUAAGACUCCUAUUUUAGCGAAGAAAAAUGCUUGAUUAAACUAGAAAUUCGAAUGAGAAAAAGUAUUCAAUCAAGAUGCUUGAUCAAUAAAUGGGGCUAAUACAUAAUUUCCAAUUUGUGUCAGGAGCGGAAUUUAUAUAUAAGCCACUAAAUCCAGCGUUGUUCUAUUUCGCUUCUCAACCAUCACAAUGGUCCUAUCCUCCAUCGAGCAAGCUAAACCAAAUUAUGGCAACUGAGCUAGGGGUGUACUCAAUUCGGACUCACGAGUAACUCCAACUUCAAUACAGUGUUCAUCUAGUUGGAAUCGAAUUCGACCUACUUGAUAAGAAAAUCUAGUCUACUUUGAGAGUAUUCGUCGUCAAUCUUAUCAAGUAAGAUAUUUAUAAUUAAUUUUUAAUUAUUUCUUAUAAAAUUAUGAAAUUCACGAAAAAAAACCGAACCUUCCUCUUAAACCUUGAUUAAUGACUCAUCAGAAAAAGAAA
rnacentral:lncRNA from 1 species